GAUGAACGCUGGCGGCGUGCCUAAUACAUGCAAGUCGAGCGAACAGACGAGGAGCUUGCUCCUCUGACGUUAGCGGCGGACGGGUGAGUAACACGUGGAUAACCUACCUAUAAGACUGGGAUAACUUCGGGAAACCGGAGCUAAUACCGGAUAAUAUAUUGAACCGCAUGGUUCAAUAGUGAAAGACGGUUUUGCUGUCACUUAUAGAUGGAUCCGCGCCGCAUUAGCUAGUUGGUAAGGUAACGGCUUACCAAGGCAACGAUGCGUAGCCGACCUGAGAGGGGGAACGGGCAAAACGGAAACGAGAACAGGGCCAGAAUCCCAAGGGAGGCAGGAGUAGGGAAAUCUACGGAAAGGGGGAAAGGCUGAAGGAGGAAAGCCGGGUGAGGGAAGAAGGGUUUCGGAAUGGAAAAAUUCGUUAAUAGGGAAGAAAAAAAGGGGAAGGAAAUAUUGAAGUCUUGAAGGUAACUAAAUAGAAAGGCAAGGACAAACAACUG
rnacentral:rRNA from 1 species